UAAAUAAGAAACAAAAAUUUGUAAUUAGUUUCGACCUAGUUUUUGAUGAUAAACCAUCCUUAUUUA
rnacentral:tRNA from 1 species